rnacentral:rRNA from 1 species
CAUUGCUUCCAGAAUAAGAUUGAGAGGUACGACCUGCCCGGUGACUUUAGGGUUAAACGGCUGCAGUACUCUGACUGUGCAAAGGUAGCAUAAUCAUUUGCCUAGUAAUUUUAGGCUAGAAUCAACGGUUAGACGAAGGAUGAGCUGUCUCCUUUUAAUUUAGCUGAAGUUAGCUUUGGAGUGAAGAGACUUUAAUAAGUGAGUGGGACGAGAAGACCCUAUUGAGCUUUAACUUAGUUAAAAAUAAAGUUUUAAUAAAGUUUGGAUUGGGGCAAUUCUUUUUAUAAUAAAACAAAAGUUAGGUAUAAUGAAUUUAUACUAUAAGACCCUGAACUUAUCGGAAACAAGAAAAAGUUACCAUAGGGAUAACAGCGUUAUUUUUCUUGAGAGUACAUAUUGACAGAAAAGUUUGCGACCUCGAUGUUGGAUUAAGAUAACCUGGAUGUGCAGCAGCCUCCAAUGGUUGGUUUGUUCAACCAUUAAAAUCUUACGUGAU